CCUCACGCUCUGAGUCAGGGACGCAGGACAUCUGUCACUGCCUGCCGGACAGGACCUUGGUCACACAUGGUCUUGGUCCCAGCCAGGGGCGGGGCGGCCGCUCUGCCCCUCUCCCUGCCUAGCCUGGGCUGAGCCGCACCUUCCUGGCUGCUGCAGGAACGGGACCCACGAGCCCGGGGCCUGGGUCCCUCCCGGGGCGGGGUGGGGGUGGGGGCUGGCUUCCUUGUGCGCAGCAGGGCUCUGUCCCUGGCAGGGUCUGCGCACACCUAGGCUCGGACGUUUGCUCGAGGGUGGCACAGGCGGGGCUGGGCUGGGGGGGAGGUCACGUCCUGGGUCAAGGGCAAGGCAGAGAGCAAGAGGAGGCCUGAGCUGGUGUCGGGUUCUGCACGACAGCCUACGCAUACGUGUCCAUGAGCCCACGAGUGUGACGACUGGGUGACUGGCAAAAUGGAUUCUGAUUGGACUUGGGGCACACGAAAAAUUAGCCAGAUUCCAUCCGCUGGUCCAGUCCCCAGAUGCCUGUCACAGCCAAAGCCAGGAGCUAGGAGCUCCCCCCGGGCUCCCCUGUGGCUGAGGGGACCCAGCACUUGAGCCACCAGGUCAAGUGUCGCCUCCCAGACUGCGUGUUAGCCGGACGUUCGGUGGGAAGCACAGGAGGGCGUGGGUCCCAGGGACCCUGGUGCGGGUCGCAACCCCCUAAGCGGCGCCUGCCCCCGGGGCUCUGUCUUCGGUCAGGAGCCCUAUCCCCCCCCCACGCCCCGUAGGGGACUGCCGGGGGACCGGUUAGCCCGGUUGUCCAGCUUCAGCCUCCGUGCUGUCUGCAAGGUCACCCCCGCCUUACAGACGGGGAACUGGAACUUCACUCGUAGCAGGCGACCUGCCCGAGGCCGUGAGCACUCCGGCAUCGCACAGGACGCUGUGUGUGCUGCCCGCCCGCGUGCUUCGUCGCUCUAUGUGACGUCAGCCCAUGCACUCCGGCGCUCUCUGUGACGUCACCCUGUGUGCUCUGUCCCCGUGGCUUCGCUGCAUGGUGCUGAUCACCUCAGCUGGGCUGGUGCAGCGGGUGGCGCAUGGCCCUCAUGGGCUCACUGCCCGCCCUGUCCUCCUUCCUCAUCCUGCUGUCGUCGCACGACCACCUACCAUGGACAGCAGGGGAAGGUUCAUUGUACGUGAAGCAUAUGUUACCAGCAUAGCUCUUAUUUGAUGGGAAGACUGAGGCUGACAGAGAGGUUAUGGGACCUCCAAAGACGCGGAGCCCCCCUGUGGCGGAGCCAAGAUUGAAAUUUGGAACUUCCCACUGUGUUGUUUUUUUUUUUUUUUUUAAAAAAAGAUGUACAUUGGCCGGCGCCGCGGCUCACUAGGCUAAUCUUCCGCCUUGCGGCGCUGGCACACCGGGUUCUAGUCCCGGUCGGGGCGCCGGAUUCUGUCCCGGUUGCCCCUCUUCCAGGCCAGCCCUCUGCUGUGGCCAGGGAGUGCAGUGGAGGAUGGCCCAGGUGCUUGGGCCCUGCACCCCAUGGGAGACCAGGAAAAGCACCUGGCUCCUGGCUCCUGCCAUCGGAUCAGCGCGGUGCGCCGGCUGCAGCGCGCCGGCCGCGGCGGCCAUUGGAGGGUGAACCAAUGGCAAAGGAAGACCUUUCUCUCUGUCUCUCUCUCUCACUGUCCACUCUGCCUGUCAAAAAAAAAAAUUUAAAAAAAAAAAAGAUGUACAUUUAUUUAUUUGAAAGGCGCGCACACCCACACUCACACCCACAGAGGCACAGGGAGCUCUUCCACUUCCCAAAUGUCCGCGG